rnacentral:rRNA from 1 species
AGAGUUUGAUCCUGGCUCAGGACGAACGCUGGCGGCGUGCUUAACACAUGCAAGUCGAGCGGAAAGGCCCUUCGGGGUACUCGAGCGGCGAACGGGUGAGUAACACGUGAGCAAUCUGCCUUAACUUCGGGAUAGCUCCGGGAAACCGGGAUUAAUACCGGAUAUGACUGCUACCGACAUCGGCGGCGGUGGAAAGAUUU